rnacentral:rRNA from 1 species
UACCAGCACCCCGAGUGGUCGGGACGAUUAUUGGGCCUAAAGCAUCCGUAGCCGGUCCUACAAGUCUUCCGUUAAAUCCACCUGCUUAACAGAUGGGCUGCGGAAGAUACUAUAGGGCUAGGAGGCGGGAGAGGCAAGCGGUACUUAGUGGGUAGGGGUAAAAUCCUCUGAUCCAUUGAAGACCACCAGUGGCGAAGGCGGCUUGCCAGAACGCGCUCGACGGUGAGGGAUGAAAGCUGGGGGAGCAAACCGG